AGCCGUGUAGCUCAGUCUGGUGAGAGCAGUUCCCUGAUAAGGAAAAGGUUCGGUGGUUCAAAUCCACUCACGGCUACCA
rnacentral:tRNA from 1 species